rnacentral:lncRNA from 1 species
CUGUCAGAGCUGUUAGCCUGCUUAAACAGAGGAAAAUGGUACAGGCAGAGCUGGUCUGGUAUCAGGAAAAAGGCUGCCUACGAUAAUCCACUGCAGGACCCUAAAAGUCUCGACCUUAGGGCCCCCUCGGACCGUCUCCAAGGUCGGGUCCCGCUGGAGAAGGAGGCAUUUCGAGAGUGUUGGAAACACUCUUUUGUAAAAUCUACAAAGAAACAUUUUGGAGUCCAUUGAGGCCUAUAGUGAAAAACUGAAUAUUUCGCCUUGAAAACCAGAAACAAGCUAUCUGUGAAAAUGCUUUGUGAUGGAAGAUUUAUCUCACAGAGUUAAACGUUUGUAUUGAUUCAGCUGGCUGGCAACACUCUUUUUGUAAAAUCUACAAUGGGACAUUUCAGAGACCAUUGAAGUCUACAGAAAAAGACUGAAUAUCCCAUGAUUAAAACUAGAAACAAGCUAUCCAUCAA